UUCCGUAGGUGAACCUGCGGAGGGAUCAUUACACAAAUAUGAAGGCGGGCUGGAACCUCUCGGGGUUACAGCCUUGCUGAAUUAUUCACCCUUGUCUUUUGCGUACUUCUUGUUUCCUUGGUGGGUUCGCCCACCACUAGGACAAACAUAAACCUUUUGUAAUUGCAAUCAGCGUCAGUAACAAAUUAAUAAUUACAACUUUCAACAACGGAUCUCUUGGUUCUGGCAUCGAUGAAGAACGCAGCGAAAUGCGAUAAGUAGUGUGAAUUGCAGAAUUCAGUGAAUCAUCGAAUCUUUGAACGCACAUUGCGCCCUUUGGUAUUCCAAAGGGCAUGCCUGUUCGAGCGUCAUUUGUACCCUCAAGCUUUGCUUGGUGUUGGGCGUCUUGUCUCUAGCUUUGCUGGAGACUCGCCUUAAAGUAAUUGGCAGCCGGCCUACUGGUUUCGGAGCGCAGCACAAGUCGCACUCUCUAUCAGCAAAGGUCUAGCAUCCAUUAAGCCUUUUUUUCAACUUUGACCUCGGAUCAGGUAGGAUCCAAGUUCC
rnacentral:rRNA from 1 species